CUGAUCCCCGCCUCCUCUCCUCCUCCUCAAUCCGUCGCCUCUCCCGCAAGCCGCCGCCCUCUCUCCUUCUCCCCGUCUUUGGCCCCGCCCUCGCCAACUCCCGACGCUCCGCCGAGUGGAGAACCAGGAAGGAGGAGGGACGUGAAGUGGAGAAGAGGGGGUGCGCUGGAGAAGGAGCCAAGCCUGCAGGAGAGCACGGAGUGCCGGCGCGCCGUGCCCGCCGCAGCUGCUCGUGGAGAUCCGGCAUGUGCUGCACCAUGGAGGCGCUCGUGGAGGUACUCUCGCCUUCGGAACCACCUCGAUCCGCGUCUGGAACCAUCCUGCUCGUCUCCAACUUUUCCAGCUCACUGAUGAGGACCUCGUCUCGGCCUCCCUACCAGCCCCAUCCGGUUUGAUGUCGAGGAGGUUCGGUUCCUACACCAAUGGUUACAGCGGGCUCUGCUGCAGCUGCUGGUUUAGUUGUUCAAAUGGGAGCUUCGUAGGGGCAUGCUCUCAAUUCCAUUACCUUUCUAGAUUGUUGUUUCGUUGUUGAUGCAAUACUCAGUUUGGUGGUUUCCUUUUGUUUUUGCUGCAGGGAGUGGAAGUUUUAGAAUGCUGCGGACAGGUUGAGAGCAAUAGAUGUUUUUUAAGUCCUAGGACAAUUUGAUUUUGGGAGGACAAAGGUCAGGCAAGGAUGAGAAUGGGAUACCAGAUUACAACGAUGGAGGCUCGGACAUGGAUCUGCUCAUGCUCUCAGCGGGAAUACUGGAUGUUCUCGAAGCUUUGCCAUACACACGUGCUACUUUUGGCACUUGUGUGGGCUCCAGUUUGUGUCAAUGCAAUUUGCAUCUAUCAGCGGAUUAUGUCGAUCAGGUUUGGUUAUUGGCAUACAUGUAUGUUUGUGUAUGGAUUUCACAAAAUUGUUAUGCAGAAAAUAAGAGUGUAGUACAUUUCAGAGAUACAAGUGAUCUUGUUCAGUUUAGUCAGAGCACAUGCAAACAAGUAGUUCCCUAGGGUGGAGGCCUUCCACUUGCUUUUGCUAGCUAUAUGAAAUAGACUGAACCUGAACCUAACUACGAUUGGAUGUCUAAGCUGAAUUGUUGCAUCCGUAGACAUGGAAUUAUGGAUCAAUUUUAGCUCUCAAGAACUGCAUACUUAUGGUCCUAUGUAAUCCCAAUUUAUUCAGGCCAGCAUCCCAAAAGUUCACUAAUGAACAAAGCAACAUCACACAGAAUCUAAGUUUUAGGCCAGGUUACUAAUCAAUCUUUUCCCUUCUCUCUAUUUAAUUUUAACAUUGCACAAUUAUUUAUUCCCUGUUUGUAGCUUACACUGAAAUCUAAGCUCGUGUGCAUGUAUGUAUUAUGAACCAGCCCUGUCCAUUGCCUUACUGGAUACAUAAGUCUCUCCAUUGCUGUUGUCGGAUGGGUUUACGUUUGCUGUUACUUUCUGUCUUGGUUAGGAACCAGGUUGUAUAAUGCACCAAUGCUGCUUUCUGAUGACGACGGCAAUGCCAAACGCACCAUCACCUGAGGACCGCCUUCAAGAGCAUGCUGAAGAAUCACAACAAAAACUCCCCAGUAAUAGUGCCACUCCAUGAGACAUCCAUAUCAAACUGAAACUCAAUUUCCUCGCAUUAGCCAAAGCAUGCCAUCACAAAUUUUUUGCUGUUGUUUUGGAACUAUUUCAGUAUGGGUGAGUUCUUUUUUUUAAGUGUACUCUAUAUGUUGGUGACUUAUUUUUUUAGUUGAUUGUUCUUUUACAAAAUUGAGCAAAAAGAAAAGAACAAAGAAAAAAUUGUUUAGCUAGAUAGGCAAAGCCGCUGAUGUUUACUUGUUGUUUGCUGUAGACCCUUGAUGGGCCAUGCUUUUCUCUGCUUUUUGCGUUCCUGGACUAUAUCCAAGGAUGAAGUGAAGAAGAAGAAUUGGGAUUGUCAAUUGUGUAUUUGCAAUUGUACAGAUCCGAGGUCUAUGCGAUUGGCGGGGAAGGAACCAUGAGAGGAGCAGUGGCGAUAUUCAAAGAGAUUAAACGGCAUGGUUUGAGGAUACCCAUUACAUGGAUCCCCAAAACUGUGGACAUCGGCGUCAUAGACAGGUCGUUUGUGUUCCAAACUGCAGUGGAGAUUACUCAGCAUGCGAUCAACCGGCACAUGUGGAGGCUGUGAGCGCUGUGAAUGGCAUUGGUCUUGUCAAACUUACGGGAAGGAGCACAUGACACGUUACUCUUCAUGCCACCCUGAGCAGCCGAGAUGUUGACUGCUGUGAAUCUUGAGAUUGACUUCCACGUUGAAGGGAAGGGAAGCCUGUUUGAGUUCCUGUAUGAACGGAUAAAGAAGAAGGGGCAUGUUGUGGUCGUUGUUGCUGAAGGUGCUGAUCAGGAGUUAAUACCCCGGACUGAUGACCCAACAGAGUUAACUUAAUCUGAACCUCCUCUGUUUCCGCUAUAUAUCCCUAAUUUUCUGAACUUAACAACUGAACAACAUUAUAUAUUAGAUUAGCACACAAGUGAACUGGAAAUCAUUUUAUUCAGAUUGUUGGUACCCUCAGUGUAAAAUUAUUCCUUAUUGGUUGGGGAUUUGGAGACGUAGUAUCUGGUUGAUGAA